rnacentral:rRNA from 1 species
UACGAAGGGGGCUAGCGUUGCUCGGAAUCACUGGGCGUAAAGGGUGCGUAGGCGGGUCUUUAAGUCAGAGGUGAAAUCCUGGAGCUCAACUCCAGAACUGCCUUUGAUACUGAGGGUCUUGAGUAUGACAGAGGUGAGUGGAACUGCGAGUGUAGAGGUGAAAUUCGUAGAUAUUCGCAAGAACACCAGUGGCGAAGGCGGCUCACUGGGUCAUUACUGACGCUGAGGCACGAAAGCGUGGGGGAGCAAACAGG